rnacentral:rRNA from 1 species
ACUCCUACGGGAGGCAGCAGUGGGGAAUAUUGGACAAUGGGCGCAAGCCUGAUCCAGCCAUGCCGCGUGAGUGAUGAAGGCCUUAGGGUUGUAAAGCUCUUUUGUCCGGGACGAUAAUGACGGUACCGGAAGAAUAAGCCCCGCUAAGCUUCGUGCCAGCAGCCGCGGUAAUACGAAGGGGCGUAGCGUUGCUCGGAAUCACUGGGCGUAAAGGGCGCGUAGGCGGCCUUGUAAGUUGGGGGUGAAAGCCCGUGGCUCAACCACGGAAUUGCCUUCGAUACUGCUUGGCUUGAGUGUGGUAGAGGUUGGUGGAACUGCGAGUGUAGAGGUGAAAUUCGUAGAUAUUCGCAAGAACACCGGUGGCGAAGGCGGCCAACUGGACCAUCACUGACGCUGAGGCGCGAAAGCGUGGGGAGCAAACAGGAUUAGAUACCCUGGUAGGUGA